rnacentral:rRNA from 1 species
UACGGAGGGUGCAAGCGUUAAUCGGAAUUACUGGGCGUAAAGCGCACGCAGGCGGUUUGUUAAGUCAGAUGUGAAAUCCCCGGGCUUAACCUGGGAAUUGCAUUUCAGACUGGGAAUCUAGAGUACUUUAGGGAGGGGUAGAAUUCCACGUGUAGCGGUGAAAUGCGUAGAGAUCUGGAGGAAUACCGGUGGCGAAGGCGGCCCCCUGGACGAAGACUGACGCUCAGGUGCGAAAGCGUGGGGAGCAAACAGG